rnacentral:rRNA from 1 species
GUCUACAGCCAUGCCACCCUGAACAAGCCUGAUCCUGUCUGAUCUCGGAAGCUAAGCAGGGUUGGGCCUGGUUAGUACUUGGAUGGGAGACCACCUAGGAAGACCAGGUGCUGUAGGCA